UACGGAGGGCGCGAGCGUUGUCCGGAUUUAUUGGGCGUAAAGAGCUCGUAGGCGGCUUGUUGCGUCGACCGUGAAAACCCGGGGCUCAACUUCGGGCUUGCGGUCGAUACGGGCGGGCUAGAGUUCGGUAGGGGAGACUGGAAUUCCUGGUGUAGCGGUGAAAUGCGCAGAUAUCAGGAGGAACACCGGUGGCGAAGGCGGGUCUCUGGGCCGAUACUGACGCUGAGGAGCGAAAGCGUGGGGAGCGAACAGG
rnacentral:rRNA from 1 species